rnacentral:rRNA from 1 species
UAGUCCGCACGAGCGCACCCUUGUUUUUAGUUGCCUUAUGGAACUCUAGAAAGACUGCCGGUUAUAAACCGGAGGAAGGCGGGGAUGACGUCAAGUCAGCAUGCCCCUUACACCCUGGGCUACACACGUGCUACAAUGGGCGAGACAAUGAGAUGCAACUCUGCGAAGACUAGCUAAUCUAUAAACUCGCUCUAAGUUCGGAUUGCAGGCUGCAACUCGCCUGCAUGAAGUUGGAAUCGCUAGUAAUCGCUGGUCAGCUAUACAGCGGUGAAUCCGUUCCCGGGCCUU